UUUGUCUUCGUUUGAUUCAUAGGAUAGAACUAUCAUAAAAAUAGGAAUAUCAUACCAAAAUGAGAUCACAUGCAUCUUAAUUUCUAUAGUGAAAGAGAUGUGAAUUGAUUCAUAGGAUAACAACUUUUUCGGUUAGGCUAAUAUUGUUUCCAUUCAAAAAUGGAUGACUGGUUUCUAUCCUAACAAUGAACAGAAAUCUAUCUCUCCCUAAUAAUAAAGCACGGAUGGCUCGCGGCGUUUUUACAAAAUAGUCCCUCAUGUUAUGUAAAAUUAACCCGCACUCCAUGUUUAAGUCAAAUAGAAAAACGGUUCGUUUCGUUUUUUGUAGAACACCCCCCGCUGUUACUAGAAAUCAACCCGUAGCCCGCGCCUGUUAGCUUGCUCUCAUAUCCAUGGGCGGCGCCAUUGUUGUGGUGGAGCUGUUGCUUCCUGUUUCAGGUCUUGCUGCAAGUCGCAGUCAGGGGAUUGAGUAGACCAGGCUAGGGACAGAGGACA
rnacentral:lncRNA from 1 species